CAUGCAAGUCGAACGGAAAUCUUUUAGAUUUUAGUGGCGAACGGGUGAGUAACACGUAAGCAACCUGCCUUUAAGACGAGAAUAACAAUUGGAAACAGUUGCUAAGGCUGGAUAGGAAAUAAAAAGGCAUCUUUUUAUUUUUAAAAGACCUUUUUCGGAAGGUAUGCUUAAAGAGGGGCUUGCGUCACAUUAGUUAGUUGGUAGGGUAAAGGCCUACCAAGACGAUGAUGUGUAGCUGGACUGAGAGGUUGAACAGCCACAUUGGGACUGAGACACGGCCCAAACUCCCACGGGAGGCAGCAGUAGGGAAUUUUCGGCAAUGGAGGAAACUCUGACCGAGCAACGCCGCGUGAACGACGAAGUACUUCGGUAUGUAAAGUUCUUUUAUUGAAGAAGAAACAAUAGUGGAAAAACUAUCUUGACGUUAUUCAAUGAAUAAGCCCCGGCUAACUAUGUGCCAGCAGCCGCGGUAAUACAUAGGGGGCGAGCGUUAUCCGGAAUUAUUGGGCGUAAAGGGUGCGUAGGCGGUUUAAUAAGUCUCUAGUUUAAUUUCAACGCUUAACGUUGUCCUGCUAGAGAAACUGUUUAACUAGAGUGAGAUAGAGGUAAGCGGAAUUCCAUGUGUAGCGGUAAAAUGUGUAAAUAUAUGGAGGAACACCAGAGGCGUAGGCGGCUUACUGGGUCUUUACUGACGCUGAUGCACGAAAGCGUGGGGAGCAAACAGGAUUAGAUACCCUGGUAGUCCACGCCGUAAACUAUGAGUACUAAGUGUCGGGGUUAAACUCGGUACUGAAGUUAACACAUUAAGUACUCCGCCUGAGUAGUACGUACGCAAGUAUGAAACUUAAAGGAAUUGACGGGAUCCCGCACAAGCGGUGGAUCAUGUUGUUUAAUUCGAAGAUACACGAAAAACCUUACCAGGUCUUGACAUACUCUGCAAAGCUAUAGAAAUAUAGUGGAGGUUAUCAGGGAUACAGGUGGUGCAUGGUUGUCGUUAGCUCGUGUCGUGAGAUGUUAGGUUAAGUUCUAAAACGAGCGCAACCCCUGUCGUUAAUUGCCAGCACGUUAUGGUGGGGACUUUAGCGAGACUGCCAAUGAAAAAUUGGAGGAAGGUGGGGAUUACGUCAAAUCAUCAUGCCCCUUAUGAUCUGGGCUACAAACGUGAUACAAUGGCUAUUACAAAGAGUAGCUGAAACGCGAGUUUUCGGCAAAUCUCAAAAAAAUAGUCUCAGUUCGGAUUGAAGUCUGCAACUCGACUUCAUGAAGUUGGAAUCGCUAGUAAUCGCGAAUCAGCAUGUCGCGGUGAAUACGUUCUCGGGGUUUGUACACACCGCCCGUCAAACCACGAAAGUGGACAAUACCCGAAAGCGACAGCCUAACUGCGUAAGCAGAGGGAAUCGUCUAAGGUAGGGUCGAUGAUUGGGGUUAAG
rnacentral:rRNA from 1 species